CCUGUUUUACAAGUUUUAAAUUUGUUUGUAAGUUCUAUCAAUAUCAUCUCUAUUUAGUUCAGUUCUAGCGUUACCGCUUGUUUCAAGCACAAAUUUAAAAUUAUUAAUUCAUAAGGAAGACAAAAUGUCUAAAUUAAACGGCACAGUAAAAUGGUUCAACUCUGAUAAAGGUUUCGGCUUCAUCACUCCAGAUAACGGCGGUAAAGAUGUAUUCGUACACUUCUCUGGUAUCGUGGGUGACAAAUACAAAACUUUAAACGAAGGCGCUAAAGUUGAGUUCAACGUUCAAGAUUCUCAACGUGGUCCAUCAGCAAUCGAUGUAGUUGCACUAUAAUUCUUGCCUAGCUAAAGAAUUUCUAAAUCCCCCUUUUUAGGGGGAUUUUUCAU
rnacentral:sRNA from 1 species